UAUAUACUCCCUCCGUUCGGAAUUACUUGUCUUGAAAAUGGAUGUACUAGAUGUAUUUUAGUUCUAGAUACAUCCAUUUUCGAGACAAGUAAUUUGGAACGGAGGGAGUACAUG
rfam:Triticum aestivum genome assembly, contig: Triticum_aestivum_CS42_TGACv1_scaffold_329034_4BS